UAAUAAAAGCUGGCGCCCUACUCAGUUACUUCAUCAUUUCGCUUCGAAAGCAUCUCCUAGCAAGACACAAGACUAUAGUUCAAUUAAAAUGGAAAUUACAUCCCGAGCACUCCGUACGGUAUUGCUGCUGUUGGUGGCAUCUGUUCUGAUUGCCAAAAUUGAAUGUGCCCCAUCUCAGCAGCGAACGAACGCCGAAGAGAGCGUGAGGCAUCUCAACAGGAAUGAACUUCUUCGGCUCUUCCAAGAGGAUGCCAAGUGGGCUUCGUCCAGCCACAGCAACGACAAAAGCUCGGAAGAAUUGAAAUACCAGCCGAUGCCCUAUUCUCCAGUAUUUACCGGAAACGGUGUGGAUCCAACUAUACCUGUCCCGCAUGCUUAUUAGUGCAAAAUUUCGACACUACCAGGUGAAUGAUUUGUGAAAGCUUCGUUUUUAUGAUGAUAUUUUAUGAUAACAAUUUCUCGAAAAUAAAGAAAAAAUAAAAUAAUUACUGAAAAGCAAAAUGA